GGGGGAAUCAAAGGCUGGGCGAAGAGGCAGGGCAGGCGCCGGUGACGCUGCUGGGCAAGCGGGCUCUGCAGUAGCAUUUGUGGCGACCGUGGCAGUGGCUGUGACUGGAAGCUUCUGGAAAUGGCGGCGAUGAGGACCCCCACAUAGGGAUGGCCAUAGCAGCCACAAAAGGAAGCAAACAAGAACAAGUCCUGAUGGAGCAAUUUAUGAAGACAGGCAGCAUAGAGGGAGAAGAACCUGUCUGUCAACCCCACACACGCUUUCCCAGUUCUGAAUCAAGGACGUAUCCCUGAAUCUGGGGAGCUCUCUAUCAAAAUAUACAUGCUGGAACCCUACCAAAGGAAUAAUAAAUCUGGAAUGAGGCUCUGACUGUCUAAUUAGGAAAAGACUCCUUCCUGGAAUUCUGCACAUCUCCCUACACCUUAGUGACGGUUAAAUAAAUAAUUAUUAAGCUUCUGGA
rnacentral:lncRNA from 1 species